UGAGAUUGUCUAGUGUCUUAAGAA
rnacentral:miRNA from 1 species